CCCUUAGAUGUUCGGGGCCGCACGCGCGCUACACUGAAAGAAUCAGCGUGUGUCUACCCUGGUCCGGAAGGAUUGGGUAACCCGUUGAACCUCUUUCGUGCUAGGGAUUGGGGCUUGUAAUUAUUCCCCAUGAACGAGGAAUCCCUAGUAAGUGCAGGUCAUCAGCUUGCGCUGAUUACGUCCCUGCCCUUUGUACACACCGCCCGUCGCUGCCCGGAACUGAGCCAUUUCGAGAAAAAUGGGGACAGACUGCUUGUGGGUGCGCAAGCACUUCUUGCAGAUUGAAACCAUCUUGAUCGGUAUGGCUUGAACCGGGCAAAAGUCGUAACA
rnacentral:rRNA from 1 species